GCAGUAGAAGAGCUAGAGAAAGAGUUUGUGACUGAACUCCAGCAGCUGAAGUCUGCGGCAGAAGAGAAGCAUCAUAAGGUAAAAGAUGGUGUCCUGAGAAUGUAAAUCGUUGAUUUCCCACACUGUCACCAAAGGUGGCCGGGGAGAGUGGCGUUCCUUUUUCUUCCCGCUCCCUAAAUGUGGUUCUGGUCUGGCUCAGCACUUGGAUGUGCUCCAAGUAGGGGGUGGUGAGACUGCACACGCUGGUCUUUGCCACGCUGCUCGCUCCCCGUGGGAGGGCACCGGAUGGAUCUUGUCAGAAGGGUGACAAGUCUCUGGGUGGCUUUCACGGCAGGUCAUUUCCAGCCUGCAAACCCAGCUAGCAGAGGCACAGCGCCGCGAGGAGGCACAGCUGCGCGAAGACUUGCAGAGAGCCGAGCAGAAAGCGCAGCAAAAGGCCCGUCAAGUCACGGAGUACGAACGCGAGGCAAGUGCUCCCCUCAGCUUGCUGCGGGUCCUGCACCCCCUCUCCCUGGGGCUGUGGUGAGGCCCUGAGACUGCAGCCCCUGCCCAGUGGUGGCAGCGGUGCCAUGGGGGACAGGGCACCCCUGUGGCAUCUGGCCCUGCCGGGGCGUUUGCCUUGGGCUGCCCCGGCCUGAUCCUGCGCACGUGGUACCGCGACCGCCCGUCCUCCCACUCCCAUGAGGGGCUGCGCUCCAGGGGCCCCGCACCGCGGGGCUGCAGGUCACAGAAACAUCUUGUCACGUCAUCCCCGCAGCUCAGCGAGCUAAUGAGGGAGAAACGCCACGACGUGGAAAAAGACCAUGAGAGGAGAAUGGAGAGGAUGAAGGAGGAGCACCAGGAGGCCCUGGCACGGAUUCGGGAUCAGUACGAGGAGGAGGAGAGAAAGCAAAGAGCAGAGCUGCUGGAAGGCCUGCGACGCGAGGGGGCGCGUCUCCGGCAGCUUCACGAAGCAGAGGUGAAGGCUCUGCAGGUGGAGCUGGAUGAGCAGCUCACUGCACUGCAGUGCAGGCACAGGGAGAAGGUGAGGAGAACGCUUUGCCUGGCGAAUCCUCCUGACAUGGCUGCCUGGGG
rnacentral:lncRNA from 1 species